UAAAACCUGUACAUUUGAGUUACGAGGAAACAAAGACAACAUCAUGGUCAGAAAGGUAACCCAAGUGGACAGGAUUGUGACGGCCGAAUGAUGUGAAGUCCUUAUUUCAAUAUUCAACUGGAUAAAUUUUGUUGUCUUUGAUUGAACGCAUGUAUUCGGACUACAACAAAUUAAAAGCUGCAACAGUUACGAGUUUACGAAAACGCUUAUAAUAAUUAUUGGUAGUAUAGCAGCUGCUGGGAUCGCUGUUUUACUUAUACUGGUGCUGAUUGUUGGGUGUGGUUUCAGUCGUUUCUCUACCAUGGGAAAGGAAUCCGACAAGUCGUAUAGUUGGUUCCUGUUGAUAAGAAUACCGUGGCGUUGGAGAUGCUUGCGAACCACCUUCUGCCGUUGGGGGCGUCGCUUGUCAGACCAUGGAAUCCUUCCUGCUGUCGAAAUACAUGAGAAAUGGUGUGCCGCCCAAACCAGGUAUGUUCGUCUUGUGACUGAAAGAGGGAUGGAAGAGUAAACGGGAAAAACGUUAUUUUAGGCAAUCUUUAGUGAGCUAAAAUGUGCUAAA